rnacentral:rRNA from 1 species
CAAUAGCGUAUAUUAAAGUUGUUGCAGUUAAAAAGCUCGUAGUUGAAGUUCGGGAGAAUGGAACCGGACCACGGGACCGCCUCCCAAAUUCGCAAACACGACUUCACGUAUUAAUUUGCGUGUUGCUCGGGUUGCGUCGUUUACUGUGAACAAAUUAGGGUGUUUAAAGCAGUCUUACGUUUGAAUACACUAGCAUGGAAUAAUAAGAUAGGACCUUGGUACUAUUUUGUUGGUUUGCGCACCAAGGUAAUGAUUAAUAGGGACAGUUGGGGGUAUUCGUAUUCCAUUGUCAGAGGUGAAAUUCUUGGAUUUCUGGAAGACGAACUACCGCGAAAGCAUUUACCAAGGAUGUUUUCAUUAA